rnacentral:rRNA from 1 species
GACGAACGCCGGCGGCGUGCCUAAUACAUGCAAGUCGAACGCACUCUCGUUAGAUUGAAGAAGCUUGCUUCUGAUUGAUAACAUUUGAGUGAGUGGCGGACGGGUGAGUAACACGUGGGUAACCUGCCCUAAAGUGGGGGAUAACAUUUGGAAACAGAUGCUAAUACCGCAUAAAACCUAGCACCGCAUGGUGCAAGGUUGAAAGAUGGUUUCGGCUAUCACUUUAGGAUGGACCCGCGGUGCAUUAGUUAGUUGGUGAGGUAAAGGCUCACCAAGACCGUGAUGCAUAGCCGACCUGAGAGGGUAAUCGGCCACACUGGGACUGAGACACGGCCCAGACUCCUACGGGAGGCAGCAGUAGGGAAUCUUCCACAAUGGACGAAAGUCUGAUGGAGCAACGCCGUGUGAGUGAAGAAGGUUUUCGGAUACGUAAAACUCUGUUGUUGGAGAAGAACGUAUUUGAUAGUAACUGAUCAGGUAGUGACGGUAUCCAACCAGAAA